AUGUCCCUACGGGGGGCAGCAGUGGGGAAUAUUGCACAAUGGGGGAAACCCUGAUGCAGCGACGCCGCGUGAGUGAAGAAGUAAUUCGUUACGUAAAGCUCUAUCAGCAGGGAAGAGAGUGACGGUACCUGAGUAAGAAGCCCCGGCUAACUACGUGCCAGCAGCCGCGGUAAUACGUAGGGGGCAAGCGUUAUCCGGAAUUACUGGGUGUAAAGGGGGCGUAGACGGCUGUGCAAGUCUGGAGUGAAAGGCGGGGGCCCAACCCCCGGACUGCUCUGGAAACUGGAUGGCUGGAGUGCAGGAGG
rnacentral:rRNA from 1 species